rnacentral:rRNA from 1 species
UCCAGACUCCUACGGGAGGCAGCAGUGGGGGAUAUUGCACAAUGGGGGAAACCCUGAUGCAGCGACGCCGCGUGGGUGAAGAAGCGCCUCGGCGCGUAAAGCUCUAUCAGCAGGGAAGAAAAUGACGGUACCUGACUAAGAAGCCCCGGCUAACUACGUGCCAGCAGCCGCGGUAAUACGUAGGGGGCAAGCGUUAUCCGGAUUUACUGGGUGUAAAGGGAGCGUAGACGGCGACGCAAGUCUGGAGUGAAAGCCCGGGGCCCAACCCCGGGACUGCUCUGGAAACUGCGUCGCUGGAGUGCGGGAGGGGCAGGCGGAAUUCCUGGUGUAGCGGUGAAAUGCGUAGAUAUCAGGAGGAACACCGGCGGCGAAGGCGGCCUGCUGGACCGUGACUGACGUUGAGGCUCGAGAGCGUGGGGAGCAAACAGGAUUAGAUACCCCAGUA